rnacentral:misc_RNA from 1 species
ACACACUCGGUUCCGGAAAAAAUGCCGUUGCCGAUCCAGCCAGGAUUCUUACAGGUUGGCAUAGAGCCGAUGCAGGUUGAUGCUCAGCCAGAAGAAAAUGACAACGUGGAGGAGGAUCGAUAUGUGGUUGAAAACACAACACUGGAUUUGGAACAGUAUGCAGCUCAAUACAGUGGACUGGCAAAACUAAACAGACUGCUGUUCAUUGCUGAUCAUUGUCCAAUGCUUAGAGUCGAGGCACUGCGGAUGGCACUGGCCUAUGUAAUGAAUACCUAUAACACUAGUCUCUAUCAACAGAUCCACCGAAAACUACAAGAGGCAGUCACAUCGUCCUCCAGUCUUCCAGAUGCUGUUGCUGGAGCCAUUCACAAUGUCCCCAGCCUAGACACACAGUGGAUAGAAACCACCUCCAAAAAAGCCGCCCUCAAACUGGAGAAGCUAGACACUGACCUCAAAAACUACAAAAGCAACUCCAUAAAGGAGAGCAUCAGACGUGGGCAUGACGACUUAGGUGACCAUUACUUAGACUACGGAGACCUCAGUAAUGCAUUAAAGUGCUACUCCAGAGCCAGGGACUACUGCACCAGCCCUAAACAUGUGGUCAAUAUGUGCUUGAAUGUCAUAAAGGUUAGUGUUUAUUUACAAAAUUGGUCCCAUGUGCAGAGUUAUGUGAACAAAGCUGAGAGUACACCAGAAAUGGCCGAGCAGCAUGGUAAAGAUGGUGGCCAAAUUGUGCUAACAAAAUUAAAAUGUGCUGCAGGAUUAGCAGAUUUAGCUACCAAGAAGUACAAAUCCGCUGCCAAAUAUUUCCUUCAAGCCAACUUUGACUACUGUGACUUUCCAGAACUCCUUUCACCUUGUAAUGUUGCCACUUAUGGUGCUCUUUGUGCCCUUGCAUCAUUUGACAGACAAGAAUUGCAGAAAAAUGUCAUAUCUAGCAGCUCAUUUAAAUUAUUCCUAGAAUUAGAACCUCAGCUUCGUGACAUAAUUCAUAAGUUUUAUGAAUCAAAGUAUGCGUCAUGUUUAAAACUUUUAGGAGAAAUCAAGGUAAGAUUUCCAAAAAAAUAUUUGGUAUUUUUGUGCAACAGAUAAUAGAAAAAAAAUAAAUUUUGAUCUUGCAGAGAACAUGCAUUAACAAGGCUGACUCUGAAUUCUUUCAAUGGUUAUGAAUGUAGUGUAAUUCUAUACACAUACAUUUUACCUGUUUAUAACUUUGACCUGUAUAAUUAAAUGUGGUUUCUUCUUUUGUAGGAUAAUCUACUACUAGAUAUGUAUUUAGCUCCACAUGUGAAUGUCUUAUAUACACAAAUAAGAAAUAGAGCUCUAUGCCAGUAUUUUAGUCCAUAUUUAUCCGCUGACAUGAGGAAAAUGGCUGAAGCCUUCAACACAACAGUUCCUGCUCUUGAAGAUGAAAUCAUGCAAUUAAUCCUGGAUGGUCAAGUCAAUGCUCGCAUAGACUCCCACAAUAAGAUUUUAUAUGCAAAGGACACAGAUCAGAGAAGUUCCACUUUUGAGAAGUCUUUUGCCAUGGGCAAAGAGUAUCAGCGACGCACUAAAGCUUUAAUCCUGAGAUCUGCGAUGUUACGAAAUCAAAUCCAUGUAAAAAGCCCACCUAGAGAUGGGGGUCAAGGAGGAGAGAUGUCAAUAGCGCCAGGGACAGUUUCAUCUGCCAGGAACUGACCGUACAAUAGACGGUGUCUAUUUCUGUGAUAAAAGACUUCUGUCAGCGAUGACUGAGCGGGUCAGAGACAGACAUCCUGCAUGUAGUGCUAAAUCAGCCUUGUUUCAUAUCAGGACUCAUUGAUAGCAUCGUUAUCACUGAUCAGCCAGCGCUUGAUCCUUGCAGGGAUUCCUUCUAUAUCUUUCUUUCUGUUUCUUUUAAGUCAAUUUAUGAAUCAGUGAAUCAAUCAUGAGCAACCAAAAAUUCUGUUCCAAUUCAUAAAAUUUUAUAUUCUGAAGUAUAGACAUUGAAUAUUGCUUUUAAUAUUCAGCAUGACUUUCUAAAAUUGUAACUGAUUUAAAACUGUCAAAUGAAAUAUACACUGUACAUGUAGUUAAAGACGAUAUAAUUCCAGUUUUGUAUAUUGCAAUGUACAUGUACUUUGUACAAGUUUUAUUAAAAAUUCAGUUUGCUUUGGUAAACUGUGAAUGUUAAC